rnacentral:rRNA from 1 species
UACGGAAGGGGCAAGCGUUGUUCGGAAUCAUUGGGCGUAAAGGGCGCGUAGGUGGUUCUGUAUGUCUAUCGUGAAAGCAUACAGCUCAACUGUAUUUUGUCGGUAGAAACUGCAGGACUUGAGGCUGGGAGGGGCUGGUGGAAUUCCCUGUGUAGCGGUGAAAUGCGUAGAGAUGGGGGAGAACACUCGUGGCGAAGGCGGCGUGCUGGAUCUCUUCUGACGCUGAGGCGCGAAAGCUAGGGGAGCAAACGGG